AGAAACAAAACAGCACGACAGGAUUCCGGAAAAAAAAGAAAAUAUAUAUAUAUAUAUAGGCUAUACAUUUUUAAAAAGUCAGUUGAAAGAUGCAUUGCAGGUGCAGAGAGCCAUGCACUCUAAAAAAUGUGGGGUUUACAUUUGAACUGCAAAGAGGAAAACUUUGAGAUCACGGAAUUUAAUCCACUUCCGGUAACAAGUUCGCAAUGUGUUCGCUGUAUGCGCUUCUGCCAAAUCACUUUUUAUCAAACAAGGAUUUUGUAAGGGGCUAACGUUAAUGUUACUUCACAUGUAACCACGGUGGUUUGAGUGCUGAUAGGCCUAUCUGUUCAGUCUAGAUUACAUGCAACGUAUCUCCAGGAUUUGCAAUGAAAGAGCGAUACUAGGGUAUGAGGCAUGCGGUCCGAGUUCAGAAUCCUUCUCUGUGGGGGCACCGGGGUUGGAAAGAGUGCGGUGGGCAACACCAUUCUGGGCAGCAAGCAGUUUGUUUCUGGAACCAGACCUCAUCCAGUCACGCAAACGUGUGAAACGCGAACCACUGCAAUCCGCGGAAAGAAAAUCAUUGUUAUUGAUACACCAAGUACGGAGGAGCCUGAGCUGAGAGCUGAAUUUCAGCGUUGCCUCAGUUCGUCCGAGGCACUACCCGUAAUCUUUCUUCUUGUCACUCCACUGGGGUUUCAUGGAGGCAAAGCCUUGAGAGUUCUGGAUACUCUACAAACAAUCUUCCCAGAGCGCGAGGUUGAUCAGUUCACCGUCGUGUUGUUUACAGGUGGAGAUAGGCUCGAAGAGCUUGGUCAAAUACAUAAAGAGAGUGAGGGGGACAGCAAAAUACAAAAACUUUUAACUCGCUGUGGCAAUAGGCAGCACACAUUCAAUAAUGAAGUCGACGACCAGGCGCAGGUACUGCAGCUCGUCGCCAAAAUCAACAGGUUGCUGCAUCAGAGCAUAAAUUGCCCUUCAAAUAAAGAGGCCAACAACACGAAGGCAAAGAAAAGGAGUGUGGAAGAAGCAGAAGAAGAGGAGAAUGACAUCUGGAACUGGCCAAACUACAAGACAGAGCUUCCUGUUGAGUGUGGGACUAUGAAGGGUGUGCUUCACAGGGAAAAGAUGGCUAAAGGAGAAAAGUGCAUUGAAGUCGAUGGCAGCUGGUUUACUCCGACAAAAUUUGAGGUAUUUGCAGGGAAGGGUUCUUGCAAGAAGUGGAAGCAGACUAUCCGUUGCCAAAAUAUCCCACUGGCAGAACUCAUUCAGGAUGGCCAUUUGACGUGCCCCACUUUCACAAAAAAAGGGCUCAAUGGAGAUCAGGAUGAAUUUCCCAUGUGGGCCCCUGAUGGCUCCCUAAUCGAAACCGGGGAUUUAAAGCUCAUACUCACAGGAGUGGAAGGAGAACUCCCAGUCGGAAUCCUGGCAGAGAGACUGCUGGGUAAGGAUGUCCUCAUGGACGACGUCCAGGACACCCUCCAAGACAGUGCGCUGACAGUAACAUGUAAAAAGGUAGAGAGGACUUCUCAGAAGAAUCACUCACCUCCUUCAGAGUCCCACAGAAAUCCGAAAGUGGAGGCCAAAAAGGAGAACGGAAGUCACAGAAAAAAAGUGUCUCCACUGAAGGAGGAUGCGUCAAAUAAAAAUGGCACUAAGGACAACUUCGAUGCUUCCGUCUUUCAGGAGAAUUCAUUGCCUGUCACUUGUCGAAAUGCGAAAGGAGUUCUUCAGAAGGAUCGGUUUUCCUCAGGGAAAACUGGCAAAUGCAUCAGGACAUCAGGUUGCUGGAUGACCCCUGAGGAGUUUGUACAAGAGGGAGCUGGCCUCAAGAGCGGCAAGUGGAGACGGGACAUUCACUGCCAUGGCCAACCUCUCGGCACCCUUAUUGAGAAAAUGAUUCUACAACUUCAUUCUCUGUUUUGUGAGUGUGAUGUGUGCAAGUCUGAAGACCCAUCCGACCAGAACAACGAUGACCUCUGCUUCAUCUGCUGCCAAGACACUGAGUUGGUAUGCUGCGAUGGCUGUCCGCGGUCGUUCCACCACGCAUGUCACCUACCCUCACUGGAUCAGAACCUUGGAGACCGGUGGAUGUGCACCUUCUGCAUAGUGGAGAAGGCCAAAGAGUUCUGCCAUCGCACAAAGACUCUGGAGGAGGCCCUAGACGGCAGCAUCUUACCCAACAUGCUGGUGACACUGCCAAUAUCUACUUCUGUAUCUGUUGAAAGAAGACAAGGAGCUCAUCUUCAUGCAGGACCCUUGUCUCACUUUUGACAACUAUGCUGCUGUCAUCAGCAAGCCCAUGUGGAUAGACAAGAUUAUCAAGAAGCUUCGGGGAGAGUACAGCAAAGUGGGAGAGUUUGUUGCUGAUGUGCGGCUCAUCUUUAAGAACUGCACAACGUUCAAUAAGAACAAUGAGUAUGGGAAAAUGGGAGCCAGACUGAAGGAUCUAUUUGAAAAGAAGUUCAAAUGGGUCUUCAGCAUUAAAUAGCUGCAUUCUUUACUGAGUAUGUCGCAGGAUCACUCCACUCACUGGGACAAGAGUGGCGCAAAGGUGGUUACCGUGGGCACCAGUUUCCACCUUGUGAUAAUCUGCAUAACUGUGCAGGAUGUUUUGCUACAUGGGACAUUUGCUGCUCCGCUGUAGCUAUGAGACACAGAGUGUUUUGGUGUAAAGCAUGAAGCUCUUGGCAGUGCAUCUCUGAUGCCAAAUUGAUUGCGAGUCUUGAUUUGGACUAUGGAUAUCCCAGUAGAAAUGUUUUGUCUGUCAGUGUUAAUCAUGAUUUUAAAUGGUUAGUGUCAUUAACUUGGUGGCUUACAUCUUGGAAUUCACAGAAAGAUCCUAUUUUAGCUGUGGCUGACUUUUGGUAGAAAGGUAGGCCUAUAUUCUUGCAGGAUGCAAUAAUUUAUCUAUCAAGUCAUCUAAGUAAGUUUAUGCAUGGUCUCUAAAGAAAUCCAAAGUUGAAACUGGAAAAUAAACUGUCUACAUUCAGGGAGAUA